GUANGUCACAAGCGUUGUCCGGANUUACUGGGUGUAAAGGGAGCGCAGGCGGGAANACAAGUUGGAAGUGAAAUCCAUGGGCUCAACCCAUGAACUGCUUUCAAAACUGUUUUUCUUGANUANUGCACAAGGUAGGCGGAAUUCCCGGUGUAGCGGUGGAAUGCGUAGAUAUCGGGAGGAACACCAGUGGCGAAGGCGGCCUACUGGGCACCAGCUGACGCUGAGGCUCGAAAGUGUGGGUAGCAAACAGGAUUAGAUACCCUGGUAGUCCACACCGUAAACGAUGAUUACUAGGUGUUGGAGGAUUGACCCCUUCUUUGCCGCAGUUAANACAAUAAGUAAUCCACCUGGGGAGU
rnacentral:rRNA from 1 species